ensembl:lincRNA
AUGCGGAGGGUCGGGCCUCCGAGUUCUUCUGACUGGAAGGCAUGUUACGAAACGGGAUGUACCCUCGAGAGCUGCAGAAAAGGCCUGCCUUGUCCAGGGCAGAGUGAAAAACAGCCCCACCCUGUCUCUCUCAGUCUCUGUUAUCCAGCAACUGUCCAAAGACGUGGAAGAACGUCAGCAAGGCAUACUGGAAGCAGAUCCCUUAGGAAACACAGCCAGAAGGAAUGCUUGAAAUCUGGGACUAAGCUAACAGAAGCCCAUGCAAGUCCACCACAGAGCUGCACACUCAGUAAAUGCUGUGGCCACGCUGGGCUGAGCACAGCUAACAUUUCCUUCCAUGCCAUAAACAGCCCUCUCUCCCUGGCUGUUUGCAGUGGGUUAGGUGCAGACUUAAUAGACUCCGAAGCAAGGAAGAGACAGCAUCUGGAGGAGAUGGAGGGACAUCUUGUGUUCACACCAAACUGAGCAGAAACCAUAAAUACCAGGGCAUCAGCACUGACACUCGGAAGACUGUGGACCCAACUCCAAUCCCUUGGUGAUUUGCCCUUGAUGGUCUCCCUGGGACUGGAGGCUCUGGCCAAACCUGAGCCCCUGGAGGCCUCACACCUGCUUCUGAUGAUGUUGGAUGUCCUCUCCAUCUUUGGAGCCAGGCUCUACCCCAGGCCCUGGGAGACCAGCACUGACCAAGAGUCAUCAGUACCUGUGACAUUCCAGUGAACCCUGCUAUUGGUAACAGGGAGGGCAGGGCUUUUCUACCAGCAACUGGCAAAACGGAUGGAGAUCUGAGGAGUGGGUAGGAGCUCUACAAGGAAGAAGCCGGCAACUGGAGUGUGGUGAAGCCAGCAGGGGGAACAGCACCCGGCAGGCCCUGUGGGGACACAGAAUGAGGCAAGUCAGUGGAACCGAAAGCAGCCCUGAACAGAAAGCAUGCCGCAGAAUGAAGCUGCGGGAACAGGGAGACAGACAUGCUUAGCAAACGUGUGCUCUGUGGUAAGAGCAGAGCCGGAGCCUUACAGUGCAGUGGAGUGAUGGACCUUGCAUCUGAAGAAAAGACAAGAGGGCACUGCCCUAAAGAGACCAGAGGGAGGCUUCUGCCUGUGCUGGCAUCUGGCUGAGGUGGAUGGGGCCAGGUGAAGGCUAUGAGGAGGCCUGCAGCUGAGCAGGCCGAGACAGUCAGCUGAAAACGAGACCCUGACCCUCGGUCGGAGUGCAGGAAACACAGCGCCAUGAAUUUGAGAGAUGAUGGAACCUCCUGUAAGGUUACUCAGUCUGCCUGGGCAACAGUCCCAGCCUCUGCAAAUCCAUGCUGUCUGUGUCACUUUAGCUUCAUGAUGGCAUGGGGUAACUUUGGGGGCUGUACCCUCACGUCGGAGUCAAGAGUGGGGAUGUGGCUCAGGCCUCAGCUCAGGCGCCUCUGGUCAAUGACUGGUGGCCUUGUCCUCAGGUCAAUCCCAGGCAGGCUCAUCCACAGCAUUUACUGACCUCAUCCUAACUGCAGUGUCUCCCAGAUCCCCCAGCCAGAUGAGGACCUGAGUCCUACAGGGCUGGCAUGGGGUGAGAAGGAGGAUUCUAUACUGACCUUGUGUAUAAAUGGCCUAGUCCUAGGGCGCCUACGUCUAGCUAACUAGUAAAACUAUGCAGUAUGAACAGACAGGAGGCAAAGGUAAGAAAGGAUUUCUGAGGAUGAGGAAGGUGAGCUACAGAGGAAAUGGUCGGAUUGACUGUCACAGGGUCUGGUGAAUUAGACUCUUUAGAAUCACAGAAAAAGCCAAAAUGAUUGGGGUGUGUAUUCUGUUUCAGAUCACAAACACAUUAUGCUGUGGGCCAGUAUGUUUGAUUAAGUUUCAUACCAAAAGAUACUCUAAGCUUGACUCACCGAAAUGAUUUCCUGGCCCGGGGUCAUGCUCCACAGAUUGGAGAACACAGGGUAGGAGUUCGCAGGCGAGUCCCCCCGGAGUUCAUUCUCACACUUGCCUCCUACCCUUCCCGGCCAUCCAGCUCUUACUUCACACCCAGGGACUCAGUUUAGAAGCAGGUACAGCUUCAUUCUCUCCAUAGGAGAAAUCAAAAUCUACUCUGUGGCCAUUGCUCAAGCGCUGGGAGGUAGGCCGGCCCCGAUCCACCGCAGGAAGGAGAACCACGCCUGCUCCCGACCCAGCUGCCAUCACUCAAGCACUGGGAGGUAGGCCGGCCCCGAUCCACCACAGGAAGGAGAACCACGCCUGCUCCCAACCCAGCUGCCAUCGCUCAAGCGCUGGGAGGUAGGCCGGGCCCGAUCCACCAUGGUAGGCCGGCCCCGAUCCACCGCAGGAAGGAGAACCACGCCUGCUCCCGACCCAGCUGCCAUCGCUCAAGCACUGGGAGGUAGGCCGGCCCCGAUCCACCGUGGGAAGGAGAACCACGGCUGCUCCCAACCCAGCAGCCAUCGCUCAAGAGCCGGGAAGUAGGCCGGGCCAGGAUCCACUGCGGGAAGGAGAACCACGCAUGCUCCCGACCCAGCAGUCAUCGCUCAAGCACCGGGAAGGUAGGCGCGUGGGUGCCCCUGAACCCCC